rnacentral:rRNA from 1 species
GACGAAAGCUGGCGGCGUGCCUAAUACAUGCAAGUCGAACGCAGUUGCGAACGGGUGAGUAACGCGUAGGUAACUGCCUGGUAGCGGGGGAGAACUAUUGGAAACGAUAGCUAAUACCGCAUACUAACAGAUGGACCUGCGUUGUAUUAGCUAGUUGGUGGGGUAACGGCUCACCAAGGCAACGAUACAUAGCCGACAGGAGAGGGGGAGCGGCCAAACUGGGAAUGAGACACGGCCCAGACGCCGACGGGAGGCAGCAGUAGGGAAUAUUCGGCAAUGGACGGAAGUCUGAGCGAGCAACGCCGCGUGAGUGAAGAAGGUUUUAGGAUCGUAAAGCUCUGUUGAAAGAGAAGCGGUAUCUUACCAGAAAGGGACGGCGAACUACGUGCCAGCAGCCGCGGUAAUUC